CAGAGUCCCGGGAAGUGGUUAGGGUGCGGGUGAAGCAGGACUGCGUUUCAUGCUCUAGGCAGCCGCGGUUCUGCCCACCCACAAGCCCUAGCAGCCGGGCCAGUGGCACAGCCCCGGGUGGGUUACUUUCCUUCCAGUGUGUGCAGCCCGGCGGAGGAAGGGCCUGAACCACUGAGGAUUUACUUCACUAACCGCAAGAGCGAGCACCUUGAGAUUCAGACAGAGCAAAACUCUAAGUGGAAAUCUCCAGCUCCACAGAGUACAACCUGUCUCCAAAACAGACUUUCCCACGAGAAGCAGACACCCUUGAACGCUGGGGUCAUUAUAUAAAGAAUCGGAACUGAUGGCGCGCAGUGCAAUCUGACCCUAACAGCUUAGCGACCUCUGUCCAGCCCGUUCCCAUGGUGCUCUGUAUCCGGGAAACCCCAGCGUUUCCAAGGUAAGGAACCUGAUGAAAUGAGUUGGCUCACACGUGUGACCGCAAGAACGGGGCAGCCGCAGAAGACACC